rnacentral:rRNA from 1 species
GACGAACGCUGGCGGCGUGCUUAACACAUGCAAGUCGAACGGAAAGGCCCUGCUUUUGUGGGGUGCUCGAGUGGCGAACGGGUGAGUAACACGUGAGUAACCUGCCCUUGACUUUGGGAUAACUUCAGGAAACUGGGGCUAAUACCGGAUAGGAGCUCCUGCUGCAUGGUGGGGGUUGGAAAGUUUCGGCGGUUGGGGAUGGACUCGCGGCUUAUCAGCUUGUUGGUGGGGUAGUGGCUUACCAAGGCUUUGACGGGUAGCCGGCCUGAGAGGGUGACCGGCCACAUUGGGACUGAGAUACGGCCCAGACUCCUACGGGAGGCAGCAGUGGGGAAUAUUGCACAAUGGGCGGAAGCCUGAUGCAGCAACGCCGCGUGCGGGAUGACGGCCUUCGGGUUGUAAACCGCUUUCGCCUGUGACGAAGCGUGAGUGACGGUAAUGGGUAAAGAAGCACCGGCUAACUACGUGCCAGCAGCCGCGGUGAUACGUAGGGUGCGAGCGUUGUCCGGAUUUAUUGGGCGUAAAGGGCUCGUAGGUGGUUGAUCGCGUCGGAAGUGUAAUCUUGGGGCUUAACCCUGAGCGUGCUUUCGAUACGGGUUGACUUGAGGAAGGUAGGGGAGAAUGGAAUUCCUGGUGGAGCGGUGGAAUGCGCAGAUAUCAGGAGGAACACCAGUGGCGAAGGCGGUUCUCUGGGCCUUUCCUGACGCUGAGGAGCGAAAGCGUGGGGAGCGAACAGGCUUAGAUACCCUGGUAGUCCACGCUGUAAACGGUGGGUACUAGGUGUGGGGUCCAUUCCACGGGUUCCGUGCCGUAGCUAACGCUUUAAGUACCCCGCCUGGGGAGUACGGCCGCAAGGCUAAAACUCAAAGGAAUUGACGGGGCCCCGCACAAGCGGCGGAGCAUGCGGAUUAAUUCGAUGCAACGCGUAGAACCUUACCUGGGUUUGACAUGGAUCGGGAGUGCUCAGAGAUGGGUGUGCCUCUUUUGGGGUCGGUUCACAGGUGGUGCAUGGCUGUCGUCAGCUCGUGUCGUGAGAUGUUGGGUUAAGUCCCGCAACGAGCGCAACCCUUGUUCACUGUUGCCAGCACGUUAUGGUGGGGACUCAGUGGAGACCGCCGGGGUCAACUCGGAGGAAGGUGGGGAUGACGUCAAGUCAUCAUGCCCCUUAUGUCCAGGGCUUCACGCAUGCUACAAUGGCUGGUACAGAGAGUGGCGAGCCUGUGAGGGUGAGCGAAUCUCGGAAAGCCGGUCUCAGUUCGGAUUGGGGUCUGCAACUCGACCUCAUGAAGUCGGAGUCGCUAGUAAUCGCAGAUCAGCAACGCUGCGGUGAAUACGUUCCCGGGGCUUGUACACACCGCCCGUCAAGUCAUGAAAGUUGGUAACACCCGAAGCCGGUGGCCUAACCGUUGUGGGGGAGCCGUCGAAGGUGGGACUGGU